rnacentral:rRNA from 1 species
GUUUAAAAUCUGAUUUUAUUAUUUAUUUAGUGAUAUAUAAAGUGCUUUAAGGUAGUUAUUUUUGUAUUAUAUUAAAUUAAAAAACUAAAAUAUUAGGCUAUACUAUAUGUAAUCCUAGCCUUAGUAGAAUAAGUUGGUCAAUUAAGAAGUGCCAGUAAUCACGGUUACACUUCGAACUUUUCUUUAUGUGAAUUAAUAAUUACUAAGUGUUAUUUUCUUUUUUAUGUGGUUUAAUACAAAAAUUAAAAUAAUGUAGUAACUAUAAAAAAAAAUGGAUUAGGUACCCAAUUAUUAAGUGUAAAUUAAUUAAUAUUAUGUUUAAGGAAUUAAUAAAUUAGGCGGUCCACUAGAGUUAGAGGAACUUGUUAUUAAAAUCGAUAUUCCCCGAUAGACUGAAUUACUUAAUAUUAGUGUAUGUUCGUUUAAACUAAUAAUAAUUAUAUAGUUAGAGAGUUCAGAUCGCCAUACUACAAGUAGUUGAUUAAAUGAGUUACAGUAUGUAGUUAUCAGUCUUUUAGACUUGAGAGGAUUUAAUAGUAAAUUUAUUUUUUUAUGGUAAUUUGAAUGUUAAUAUGGGAGCACUUACCGCCCGCUACUAAUUUUGGAAAUUAUUAUAAGGCGUAACAAGGUAUGUCUUCUAGAAGGAGGACAUGGAUGAGAGUAGGAUUAUUAAA